rnacentral:rRNA from 1 species
AUAAGCGGAGGAAAAGAAACCAACAGGGAUUGCCUUAGUAACGGCGAGUGAAGCGGCAACAGCUCAAAUUUGAAAUCUGGCCCUUGGGUCCGAAUUGUAAUUUGUAGAGGAUGAUUUUGGUGCGGUAUCUUCCGAGUUCCUUGGAACAGGACGCCUUAGAGGGUGAGAGCCCCGUACGGUUGAAUGCCUAGCCUCUGUAAAUCUCCUUCGACGAGUCGAGUAGUUUGGGAAUGCUGCUCUAAAUGGGAGGUAAAUUUCUUCUAAAGCUAAAUAUUGGCCAGAGACCGAUAGCGCACAAGUAGAGUGAUCGAAAGAUGAAAAGCACUUUGAAAAGAGGGUUAAAUAGCACGUGAAAUUGUUGAAAGGGAAGGAUUUGUGACCAGACUUUUUCUGGGCGGAUCAUCCGGGGUUCUCUCCGGUGCACUUCGCCCAGUAAAGGCCAGCAUCGGUUUUCGGCGUGGGAUAAAAGCAGUAGGAAUGUGGCUCUCUACGGGGAGUGUUAUAGCCUAUUGUAUAAUACCGCGCUGGGGACCGAGGUUCGCGCUUCUGCAAGGAUGCUGGCGUAAUGGUUAUCAAUCACCCGUCUUGAAACACGGACCAAGGAGUCGAACAUUUGUGCGAGUGUUUGGGUGUUAAACCCUCACGCGUAAUGAAAGUGAACGGAGGUGAGAGCCCUUACGGGUGCAUCAUCGACCGAUCCUGAAGUUUUCGGAUGGAUUUGAGUAAGAGCAUAACUGUUCGGACCCGAAAGAUGGUGAACUAUGCGUGGAUAGGGUGAAGCCAGAGGAAACUCUGGUGGAGGCUCGCAGCGGUUCUGACGUGCAAAUCGAUCGUCAAAUCUGCGCAUGGGGGCGAAAGACUAAUCGAACCAUCUAGUACUGGUUACC